GCUUCGGAGGCUCGUACUUGGCAGCGCCGUGGGAGUUUGUUUUCCUUCGUGUUGUGCAAACAAACAAGAAUUCAAGACGGAACCUUCGUUUUCACCGUUUUGCAAGAGCUCAUGAAAAAGAUCCCUAGAAUGGUGGAAGAUUGUCGACAGGCCGGAUUUGCUUACGAAUACUUGCCAGCAACUUGAUAACAUCUUCAAGUUAUUUUUAAAACAUUUUGAGUUCGGGAUGCAAAUGAAUCCCACAUUUCCACACCUGACACAUUUAGCUGUCCCAAACAUACCCGAUCAAGUCAUGCAAGGUGCAGCUGCCUUUAUGUCGAGUGUUGUCGCUACAGCCACUGGCGCCACCAUCGCCACCUUCACACAUAUGAUGUCGGUUCCAACUAUUCUUGAGUUGAAUAUUGCAACGACUCCAUAUGAUCACACCUACGUGCUUGGAUCCUGAACAGAGUAGAAAUAUCAACCAGCAAAUGCAGAGCAAAGGGUUGGUGUUUUCAGUCUCCUCCUACUACAGCAAUGGUUAAAACUCACUAUACGUUUGAAAAACUUCU
rnacentral:lncRNA from 1 species